rnacentral:rRNA from 1 species
CAGCCGCCGCGGUAAUACGGAGGGAGCUAGCGUUGUUCGGAAUUACUGGGCGUAAAGCGCACGUAGGCGGCUUUGUAAGUUAGAGGUGAAAGCCUGGAGCUCAACUCCAGAAUUGCCUUUAAGACUGCAUCGCUUGAAUCCGGGAGAGGUGAGUGGAAUUCCGAGUGUAGAGGUGAAAUUCGUAGAUAUUCGGAAGAACACCAGUGGCGAAGGCGGCUCACUGGACCGGCAUUGACGCUGAGGUGCGAAAGCGUGGGGAGCAAACAGGAUUAGAUACCCGCGUAGUCCCUGUCUCUUAUAC